rnacentral:rRNA from 1 species
UACGGAGGGUGCAAGCGUUAUCCGGAUUCACUGGGUUUAAAGGGUGCGUAGGCGGGUUGGUAAGUCCGUGGUGAAAUCCCCAAGCUUAACUUGGGAACUGCCGUGGAUACUAUCAAUCUUGAAUAUCGUGGAGGUAAGCGGAAUAUGUCAUGUAGCGGUGAAAUGCUUAGAUAUGACAUAGAACACCAAUUGCGUAGGCAGCUCACUACACGAUCAUUGACGCUGAGGCACGAAAGCGUGGGGAGCAAACAGG